UUUCUGGCAGUCCAGUGGUUAGGACUCAGCACUUCCACUGCUGGGGCCCAGGUUCAAUCCCUAGUCAGGGAA
rnacentral:tRNA from 1 species